GUAGAGUUUAAUUUUAUUAAAAGUGUUGGUUUGAUCAGUCGACAUAGUUUAUUGCCAUCUGUUUGCUCUUUGUUUACAGCAUGGACUUCUGAUAAACAAAAACCACAAGUUAAAAAUCAAAGGAUUAAAAGUAAAUGAAGAAACUUAGAUCAUUGCUGCUUCUAUUGGUCUCUUCCCCCGUUGGUAGUAUUGGAAGUAGAGACUAACAUAAUCUUUCACAUUCUUGUAUAAUCUUGGCCUCGUUUCGUUGACAAGCGCAUCAGCUGGUUUGAUCUCUUUAUCAGAAUCUGGUAUGCAGAAGACGGCCACAGUAAUCCUCUCCUUUUCGGAGUUCGUCACCACCCUGUGUACUGGGCUCUUGAAUAUUCCGUUGCUCAUUAUCUCAACUUGAUCGCCAACGUUAACGAGAAGAGCUUGUGGAAUGAUAGGAACUCUAAACCAUUCCUUGUCUUUCAGGAACUGAAGACCUUCCACUUCUUUGUCUGGCAGGAGAAUGGUGAGUGCUGAUGCAUCCGCAUGUGGUUUUACCCCAAGAAUUUGAUCAGGCCUUUGACAGGGAGGAUAGAAGUUAAAUCUAGCAGUCACUAGUGCUCUUUCUCCAUAUUGAUCCAAAAAGCAGUUCUCCUCCAUGUCUAAUGAUCUUGCCAUUGCUUUAAGGAGAAUUUCAUUUAUCUGCUGUGACUUCAUGGCAAAUUCAUGAAGUAUUUUCCUAAAGGGUUGAGGAUUUCCAGGCCAAAAUUUGAGCUUUCGCUGGUCUUCUGGGCUUAGUGUAAGAUACAAUCUAUCAGUCCAAUCAAGUGUUUGAUGCUCUGAAAUAACCAUGUCAUUCCCAUAUCCUUCAAUGCUAUCAGCUUCUCUGGAGUAUUUCUGCUUCUCUUCCAUUGGUAAUGAGAAAAAUUGCUUGGCAACUUGGCGCAUUUGGUCCAAAAACAAACUUGUCAUUCCAUGAUUUCUUACCUGAAACGUUUAAACCAGCCCAGAGUAUGCAUACAAGUGAUGAAAUUUUUACAUUUUUGCCCCUAUUUUACUGAUUCGUUCAUAAAUUCCAGGGGCUUUUCUUGCCCUCAAACUUUUUAAAAUUACUUUCCCUUUUGGCUACAUUGAAAAUCUUUGUGAUUUGUCAGAAUCAGACCUCUUCCAAAACACUCAAGACCUAAAAUAUGCUGAACUAAAUGGCUCAAAAUCAAAUUUCAGGAAUGGAUGAUUUUCUCUGUUCCUUUCAUCAAGAAAUUGCAGAAUGAUUGGAUAAAUGAGGAUUUGAAAUGAAAGGGCAUUUGAAUUUUACGUUAUGUUGGUCUUUUACGAAUUUUCACUUGAAACAUGAAUCCAAACCCAACCACAUCUAUCCAAAUGGAUCCUUAAUUAGGAAAUUUCUGUCAAUUACAACUUGAAGUCUUGACCUAUGUUAAUUUACUUCUAAUUUCUUGAGUUAAACCUACCUAUACUCAGAACACACUGGCCCUAAAAUCUCGUAGCUCAAAUUAUACAGAAAAAUAAGUGCUAGUAUUAUUGUUAUUGAACAAGUAAUAAGUGCUAGUAGAAGAAACAAAGACCUGAAAGCAACCCCAAGAGCUGAGAGCUGAUCGAAGUUUAUGGAGCUCAUGUGUCCAGGUUGAUGGAGAUGCGAGGAGACCAAUAUCAACUACUGGAAUCUGGAUCAAAGGGACAGAAGCAUCUAGAAUUCCAGCAUCACUUCCUUUAUGAAAGUAGUUUUGCGGAGGUUCUUUGCCAAUGAUGGACAACUCUUGGACAGACAUUGAGGUUAAGGCUAUCUUGGCAGAAGGGGCUGUGUUGCUAUUAAGAGUAAAGCAAAAUGAAUUUCAAUGGUGAUGAACUGAUGAUGGAGGAGAUUUUUGGGUUUAUCUGUCAUGUGGGAGUAUUUCAAUUCAAACAAAGCAUUAAAUAUUAAGCGAUCGAGCUUUUCUUGAGGUCUGGUCAAAGGAUAGAUAGCUC
rnacentral:misc_RNA from 1 species